CAGCCGCCGCGGUAAUACGUAGGGGGCGAGCGUUGUCCGGAAUUACUGGGCGUAAAGGGUGCGUAGGCGGCCCUUUAAGUCAGAUGUGAAAGCCCGCAGCUUAACUGCGGAAUUGCAUUUGAAACUGGAGGGCUUGAGUGUCGGAGAGGGUAGUGGAAUUCCCAGUGUAGCGGUGAAAUGCGUAGAUAUUGGGAGGAACACCAGUGGCGAAGGCGACUGCCUGGACGAUAACUGACGCUGAGGCACGAAAGCUAGGGGAGCAAACAGGAUUAGAUACCCUGGUAGUCCUAGCCGUAAACGAUGGGUACUAGGUGUAGGUGGUUUCGAUACCAUCUGUGCCGUAGUUAACGCAUUAAGUACCCCGCCUGGGGAGUACGUGCGCAAGCAUGAAACUCAAAGGAAUUGACGGGGGCCCGCACAAGCGGUGGAGCAUGUGGUUUAAUUCGAAGCAACGCGAAGAACCUUACCAGGUCUUGACAUCCCUGGACAGCUGUGGAAACACAGUUUCCCUUCGGGGCCAGGAGACAGGUGGUGCAUGGCC
rnacentral:rRNA from 1 species